rnacentral:rRNA from 1 species
ACUCCUACGGGAGGCAGCAGUGGGGAAUUUUGGACAAUGGGCGCAAGCCUGAUCCAGCAAUGCCGCGUGAGUGAAGAAGGCCUUCGGGUUGUAAAGCUCUUUCAGUCGAGAAGAAAAGGCUGCAGUGAAUAACUGUAGUUUAUGACGGUAUCGACAGAAGAAGCACCGGCUAACUACGUGCCAGCAGCCGCGGUAAUACGUAGGGUGCGAGCGUUAAUCGGAAUUACUGGGCGUAAAGGGUGCGCAGGCGGUUUUGUAAGUCAGAUGUGAAAUCCCCGGGCUUAACCUGGGAAUUGCGUUUGAAACUACAAGACUAGAGUGUGGCAGAGGGGGGUGGAAUUCCGUGUGUAGCAGUGAAAUGCGUAGAGAUAUGGAAGAACAUCGAUGGCGAAGGCAGCCUCCUGGGUUAACACUGACGCUCAUGCACGAAAGCGUGGGGAGCAAACAGGAUUAGAUACCCUGGUAGUCCACGCCCUAAACGAUGUCAACUAGUUGUUGGGCCUUACUAGGCUUGGUAACGAAGUUAACGCGUGAAGUUGACCGCCUGGGGAGUACGGUCGCAAGAUUAAAACUCAAAGGAAUUGACGGGGACCCGCACAAGCGGUGGAUUAUGUGGAUUAAUUCGAUGCAACGCGAAAAGCCUUACCUACCCUUGACAUGUAGCGAAUUUUCUAGAGAUAGAUUAGUGCCUUCGGGAACGCUAACACAGGUGCUGCAUGGCUGUCGUCGGCUCGUGUCGUGAGAUGUUGGGUUAAGUCCCGCAACGAGCGCAACCCUUGUCAUUAAUUGCCAUCAUUUAGUUGGGCACUUUAAUGAGACUGCCGGUGACAAACCGGAGGAAGGUGGGGAUGACGUCAAGUCCUCAUGGCCCUUAUGGGUAGGGCUUCACACGUAAUACAAUGGCG